CCGGGGGACGCCUGUCCCCGGGCCCGCGCCCGCCGAAGCACCCCUGAACUCUGAAGAAGAUAGGGCUGUCUGAGUACCUAGAAAAUUGUCAAAACUUUCAACAAUGGAUCUCUUGGUUCCGGCAUCGAUGAAGAACGCAGCGAAAUGCGAUAAGUAAUGUGAAUUGCAGAAUUCCGUGAAUC
rnacentral:rRNA from 1 species